CACACCGUUGUGACGCCGCUAACAAGCCAUUUGCCCGAGUGAGCCGUGAGGGAAAGAUGUGUUUCGACUGGCUGUUGUGUUGUGAUUAAAUUUUUAGUAAUUUUUAUAUUAAGUUAUUUAAACACAAGCUUAUGUCGCUACCGUCCUCUGUGGAUAUCAAGCUUCCGUAGCCUUCCUUCACCAAUACAAGAGAGGACAGGUGCUGCCACUAGCGGCCGUAGGAUUUUUCCGGGUGGGGGGCGGUGCAAGAAAGCAAGACAAGACCUGACGUAUCAGUUUAUUCAAAACAGUAGGUUCUUCUGAAGCUGAAUGCUGUCUCUGGACUAAGGCACAUUUAGAGCUGCCUGAGAAACAGGAUGACAGUGGAAAGUAUCAUCUUCAUGUGAAUCACCAGACAACAGAGAGCAUCAGUGACCAUUGUACUGCUGUCACAAUCACUGCUCAGCGUCCUGAAGAGAAUGUGGUGCUGGGAGACCCAACAAGAACCUUCUUGCAUGCUACAGUUGGGUCUUCAGUGGUACUGGCCUUGAAUUUAAAAUAUUGUGUGGCUGUCUGAGGUGGACUGCUGGUUGGCUCAGGUGGAAGGCUGGCUGGACAAGAACACCACCAAACAGGUGUGUUUGGCUGACUGUGGACCCACAACAAGGUGCUUCCUGGAGGUUUUAAAGGCAAAAUGGACUUACAUUCAACAACUGGUGUGCAGUGUCCAGAUUGACAACAUUCCGUAAGUAAAAUCCC